GCUCUGGUGGGACAACAGUUAAGCGCUUGGCUGCUAACCAAGAGGUUGGUGGUUCGAACUCACCCAGAGCA
rnacentral:tRNA from 1 species